rnacentral:lncRNA from 1 species
UUAUAGAAGUGUAGGAGAACACAAAGGUAGCCACAAUUAGCUAGGGAGCUAAUAUGAUUUCCCUUGAAUUACAACUCCCACAAAUACCUAAAGCUUGAAUCUUGUAGCUUUUGAUGACUCCUUGAAGCUUGUGUGAGAAAUUCCUUCAAAUCUAAAAAUAAACUAGAAAGAAAAGAGGAAAAAUGGUGGAGGAAGAUGGGGAAGAGAGCAGCCCAAAUGGGCUGCCUCUGUUUGGUGAGAGGAUAGGGAAUAUAUAUGGGUGUGGAUGAUGUCGUCCCCUGCUGUUGUUGGACUGUCAACAAAACAAAAGGAAAUAACUAAUGGAUAGCUGCCACGUGGGUGGUGGUGAUGAGGGGAAAACUGGACAGAUAUGUGAUGGGCUGCUAGUGUAGUGUAGCACGUGUAAUUGGCUCCAAGCAAUUAAUGUUUAAUUGCUGGCUUGCUGCACGUUAUAACUGAUACACUUGGUUAAUUAAUCAAAUCAUUGAUUAAUUAAUCAAGUUCAUGAUUAAUUAAUUAAGCCAUGGAGUGAUCAAUUAAUUGUUUCUUUUCAUCAUUCAUUUUCUUCCUCCGAUCUUUAAGCACAAAAUGUAUCAUCUUGAAAUAUUCCGAUUCGGCUCUCUCAAUCAUGUUGACUAUGCUUGACCGAACUCAACUAUUUCGUCCUCUUGUCGGAAACUCCAAUUUGCU